GAUGAAGAACGCAGCGAAAUGCGAUAAGUAAUGUGAAUUGCAGAAUUCAGUGAAUCAUCGAAUCUUUGAACGCACCUUGCGCCCUUUGGCUAUUCUGAAGUGCAUGCCUGUUUGAGUAUCAUGAACACCUCAACUCUCAUGGUUUGCCAUGAUGAGCUUGGACUUUGGGGGUCUUGCUGGCCUACGGUCAGCUCCUCUCAAAUGAAUCAGCUUGCCAGUGUUUGGUAGAGUCGCAGGUGUGAUAACUAUCUACGCUUGUGGUUUUCUGCCAGAUAACCUUCAGUGAUGGAGGUUCGCUGGAGCUUAUAAAUGUCUCUCCCCAGUGAGGACAGCUUUUUGAACGUUUGAUCUCAAAUCAGGUAGGACUACCCGCUGAACUUAAGCAUAUCAAUAAGCGGAGGA
rnacentral:misc_RNA from 1 species